rnacentral:miRNA from 1 species
ACACGUUGUGUGUGUCACGUGUGUAUGCGUGUGUGUGUGUGUGUAUGUAUAUAUAUAUAUAUAUAUAUAUACACACACACACACACGCAUACACACGUGCUCAAAAGU